AGAUUCGUCAUGAAGCACAACAGAGGUUUCUAUCAGCAGAUUCCUCAUGAAGAACAGAGGUUUCUAUCAGCAGAUUCUUCAUGAAGAACAGAGGUUUCUAUCAGCAGAUUCCUCAUGAAGCAGAACAGAGGUUUCUAUCAGCAGAUUCCUCAUGAAGAACAGAGGUUUCUAUCAGCAGAUUCCUCAUGAAGAACAGAGGUUUCUAUCAGCAGAUUCCCCAUGAAGAACAGAGGUUUCUAUCAGCAGAUUCCUCAUGAAGAACAGAGGUUUCUAUCAGCAGAUUCCUCAUGAAGAACAGAGGUUUCUAUCAGCAGAUUCCUCAUAAAGAACAGAGGUUUCUAUCAGCAGAUUCCUCAUGAAGAACAGAGGUUUCUAUCAACAGAUUCCUCAUGAAGAACAGAGGUUUCUAUCAGCAGAUUCCUCAUGAAGAACAGAGGUUUCUAUCAACAGAUUCCCCAUGGAAAGAAACCUUUCAUCCUUCAUCACCGCGUUUUGGGAGAAGCUGUUUAGAGGGACAGGAAAGAAACCUUUCAUCCUUCAUCACUGCAUUUUGGGAGAAGCUGAUUAGAGGGACAGGAAAGAAACCUUUCAUCCUUCAUCACUGCAUUUUGGGAGAAGCUGUUUAGAGGGACAGGAAAGAAACCUUUCAUCCUUCAUCACUGCAUUUUGGGAGAAGCUGAUUAGAGGGACAGGAAAGAAACCUUUCAUCCUUCAUCACUGCAUUUUGGGAGAAGCUGAUUAGAGGGACAGGAAAGAAACCUUUCAUCCUUCA